UGGGGAAUAUUGCACAAUGGGCGCAAGCCUGAUGCAGCCGUGCCGCGUGUGUGAAGAAGGCCUUCGGGUUGUAAAGCACUUUCAGCGAGGAGGAAGGUGGUGAGCUUAAUACGCUCAUCAAUUGACGUUACUCGCAGAAGAAGCACCGGCUAACUCCGUGCCAGCAGCCGCGGUAAUACGGAGGGUGCAAGCGUUAAUCGGAAUUACUGGGCGUAAAGCGCACGCAGGCGGUUUGUUAAGUCAGAUGUGAAAUCCCCGGGCUCAACCUGGGAACUGCAUUUGAAACUGGCAAGCUAGAGUCUCGUAGAGGGGGGUAGAAUUCCAGGUGUAGCGGUGAAAUGCGUAGAGAUCUGGAGGAAUACCGGUGGCGAAGGCGGCCCCCCUGGACGAAGACUGACGCUCAGGUGCGAAAGCGUGGGGCAGCAAACAGGAUUAGAUACCCUGGUAGUCCAGCGCUGUAAAACGAUGUCGAUUUGGAGGUUGUGCCCUUGAGGCGUGGCUUCCGGAGCUAACGCGUUAAAGUCGACCGCCUGGGGGAGUACGG
rnacentral:rRNA from 1 species